UAUUUAUACUGCCUGCCCAGUGAAUUAAUUUUUAACGGCCACAUAAGUGCUAAGGUAGCAUAAUGAUUAGUCUUUUAAUUGGAGACUGGAAUGAAAGGUUUCACCAAGAUGGUAGAUAGUUUUUGCAUGACAAAUUUUUACUGUUGGUGAAAAUACCAAUAUAAAAUACUUAGACAAAAAGACCCUAUGAAGCUUUAUAACAAAGACAAUUUAUUAUAAAAAUAUUAGUUAUUUCUUUGGGGUAAAAUAAAAUAAUUUUAUUUUAAAACAUAAAUUAAAAAGGUCCUUUUUGAAAAAUGAACCAGCUCCUCUAGGGAUAACAGCAUAAUUUUGAUGAGAGAUCCUAUC
rnacentral:rRNA from 1 species